rnacentral:tRNA from 1 species
GCCCGGAUGGCGGAAUUGGUAGACGCGCCGGAUUCAAAAUCCGGUUCCUUCACGUGAGGGCCGGUUCGAUUCCGGCCCUCGGUACCA